rnacentral:RNase_P_RNA from 1 species
AGGAGUGAAGGUGAUGGCUGGCGGACCUUUGGUCUGAGGAAAGUCCAGGCACCUCAAGGCAGGCGGUACAGGGGUAACCCUGUCGGGUGAGAGCCCGGCUCUGAUAACAGAAACGAACUUUUCCCUUUGGGAAAUGCUGAGACGAAUCAUCACCGCCGGUGAAAUUGCAAGCAGAUCCUGAUGAGUUGCCUUGUGAGGGAUCGGGUAGCAAGAGAAGAUGGAUGCCAUCAAACUCUGGCCAAAUGGCGAGUUCACAAAACCUGGAUUACCUUCUCACCU